rnacentral:rRNA from 1 species
AUGAACGCUGGCGGCGUGCCUCAUACAUGCCAGUCGAGCGAACAGACGAGGAGCUUGCUCCUCUGACGUUAGCGGCGGACGGGUGAGUAACACGUGGAUAACCUACCUAUAAGACUGGGAUCACUUCGGGAAACCGGAGCUAAUACCGGAUAAUAUAUUGAACCGCAUGGUUCAAUAGUGAAAGACGGUUUUGCUGUCACUUAUAGAUGGAUCCGCGCCGCAUUAGCUAGUUGGUAAGGUAACGGCUUACCAAGGCAACGAUGCGUAGCCGACCUGAGAGGGUUAUCGGCCACACUGGAACUGAGACACGGGCCAGACUCCUACGGGAGGCAGCAGUAGGGAAUCUUCCGCAAUGGGCGAAAGCCUGACGGAGCAACGCCGCGUGAGUGAUGAAGGUCUUCGGAUCGUAAAACUCUGUUAUUAGGGAAGAACAAAUGUGUAAGUAACUAUGCACGUCUUGACGGUACCUAAUCAGAAAGCCACGGCUAACUAUGUG